CACACAUCAGCACCAAGACCAUAGACAGCUGGAUGAGCAUCAUGGUGCCCAAGAGGGUGCAGGUGAUCCUGCCCAAGUUCACAGCUGUAGCACAAACAGAUUUGAAGGAGCCGCUGAAAGUUCUUGGCAUUACUGACAUGUUUGAUUCAUCAAAGGCAAAUUUUGCAAAAAUAACAACAGGGUCAGAAAACCUCCAUGUUUCUCAUAUCUUGCAAAAAGCAAAAAUUGAAGUCAGUGAAGAUGGAACCAAAGCUUCAGCAGCAACAACUGCAAUUCUCAUUGCAAGAUCAUCGCCUCCCUGGUUUAUAGUAGACAGACCUUUUCUGUUUUUCAUCCGACAUAAUCCUACAGGUGCUGUGUUAUUCAUGGGGCAGAUAAACAAACCCUGAAGAGUAUACAAAAGAAACCAUGCAAAGCAACGACUACUUUGCUACGAAGAAAGACUCCUUUCCUGCAUCUUUCAUAGUUCUGUUAAAUAUUUUUGUACAUCGCUUCUUUUUCAAAACUAGUUCUUAGGAACAGACUCGAUGCAAGUGUUUCUGUUCUGGGAGGUAUUGGAGGGAAAAAACAAGCAGGAUGGCUGGAACACUGUACUGAGGAAUGAAUAGAAAGGCUUCCAGAUGUCUAAAAGAUUCUUUAAACUACUGAACUGUUACCUAGGUUAACAACCCUGUUGAGUAUUUGCUGUUUGUCCAGUUCAGGAAUUUUUGUUUUGUUUUGUCUAUAUGUGCGGCUUUUCAGAAGAAAUUUAAUCAGUGUGACAGAAAAAAAAAUGUUUUAUGGUAGCUUUUACUUUUUAUGAAAAAAAAAUUAUUUGCCUUUUAAAUUCUUUUCCCCCAUCCCCCUCCAAAGUCUUGAUAGCAAGCGUUAUUUUGGUGGUAGAAACGGUGAAAUCUCUAGCCUCUUUGUGUUUUUGUUGUUGUUGUUGUUGUUGUUUUAUAUAAUGCAUGUAUUCACUAAAAUAAAAUUUAAAAAACUCCUGUCUUGCUAGACAAGGUUGCUGUUGUGCAGUGUGCCUGUCACUACUGGUCUGUACUCCUUGGAUUUGCAUUUUUGUAUUUUGUACAAAGUAAAAAUAAAC
rnacentral:lncRNA from 1 species